rnacentral:rRNA from 1 species
CCUACGGGAGGCAGCAGUAAGGAAUAUUGGACAAUGGACGAAAAGUCUGAUCCAGCCAUGCCGCGUGCAGGAUGAAAGCCCUAUGGGUUGUAAACUGCUUUUAUACAGGAAGAAACACUCCGACGUGUCGGAGCUUGACGGUACUGUAAGAAUAAGGAUCGGCUAACUCCGUGCCAGCAGCCGCGGUAAUACGGAGGAUCCAAGCGUUAUCCGGAAUCAUUGGGUUUAAAGGGUCCGCAGGCUGUUUUUUAAGUCAGAGGUGAAAUCCUACAGCUCAACUGUAGAACUGCCUUUGAUACUGAAAAACUUGAGUUAUUGUGAAGUGGUUAGAAUGUGUGGUGUAGGCGGUGAAAUGCAUAGAUAUCACACAGAAUACCGAUUGCGAAGGCAGAUCACUAACAAUAUACUUGACGCUCCAUGGACGAAAGCGUGGGGAGCGAACAGGAUUAGAUACCCUGGUAGUCCACGCCGUAAACGAUUGGAUACUAGCUGUUCGUCUAACAUUGGUUAGAUGAGUGGCUAAGCGAAAGUGAUAAGUAUCCCACCUGGGGAGUACGGUCGCAAGACUGAAACUCAAAGGAAUUGACGG